rnacentral:rRNA from 1 species
UACGAAGGGGGCUAGCGUUGCUCGGAAUCACUGGGCGUAAAGGGUGCGUAGGCGGGUUUUUAAGUCAGGGGUGAAAUCCUGGAGCUCAACUCCAGAACUGCCUUUGAUACUGAAAAUCUUGAGUCCGGGAGAGGUGAGUGGAACUGCGAGUGUAGAGGUGAAAUUCGUAGAUAUUCGCAAGAACACCAGUGGCGAAGGCGGCUCACUGGCCCGGUACUGACGCUGAGACGCGAAAGCGUGGGGAGCAAACAGG